UUAUCUAAAGGUCUGAUAUUCUGAAGGAGCUGACAUAUAUGUUUUAUUAACAAUUAUUUAUCAACAAAGAAGUUCAGAAUAGUGUGUGAUAAAUCCACUGAGUGUCCAUGCAUUGACUCCUGGGAACUAUCGUUUUAGAAGUAUCGACCCCGCGCUAAAAUAACCAUUUAUAAAUUGAAUGUCUUCAGAGGAUUGGCCUCUGUUGCUUUUUCCAUCACCAGGAAAGCUCGCAGCUAAUUAUCCGAAUUCAGAGUUAUCUCCCUGUAGUGUAGAAUGAGCCAACCAAUAUGCGUGUACUUCAAUACAAGGAAUGGAUGUAAAAAUGGGGAUCGAUGUAAAUUCGUUCACCAAAAAAUUGAUUCUUCGCAAAGAUCUAAAUGCAGGAAUUACAGGGGACCAGGCACCUGUAAAUAUUACGAUAACUGUUUUUUCCGUCAUGAAGAGUCAGAACCAGAUAUUCUCGCCACGCAAUUACAGAGUUUGGUAAUAUCAGAUCAAACGAAUGAUGAAAGAUAUGCCAAAGAGUCCGUGGUUGUUAUGGAUAUUUUUCCAAAACUCACGCGAGAUCUCGUACACGACAUCAUUAAUCCAACUGAGAUAUUUCAUUUGUUACAAGACGGUUCUAUUCGACACACAUUUACAGAGAGAGAAAAUGACAUGGUUGAUAGCCUUGUGUAUAAUGGGUACAAUAAAUGCGACGUUGAUUUCAUUUACAAAAUAGUAUGGCAAUUACUUCCGAAACCUCCUUGUGGGUGGCAAACAUUUCCGGAAAACUCCGACUUAUCAGUAGGUGAUGAUUUGCAAAGAAUCUAUCUGAGAAGCAAAUUAUUCUAUUCACGACCUCGUUUUGAAAUAUUGGGAGAAGAAUUCGCCGCUUGGUUCAAAGAAUUCAAAGAUGUGGCGAAGCGAAUCGAUAUUUUUUUGCAUAAGCAAGCAGACGAAGCAUAUCUGUGUAAGAUUUCAAAUAUAGAAAGUAACAAGUUCGAUAAAAGCUACAUAAAAAACCUGUAUUGAAAAAGCUCGUCAAAUUGAAAACAUGCAAGUGGGCAGAACAUGCAGAAGCAAUGAAACCUCUAUUAAUCUUUUCAUCGGAAGAUCUGGUAGAGAGUGUAUAGAUCGUAUCAUAAAAGAAGG